AGAGGGUGACUGAAUAAGGCGCGAAGCGAAAAGCAAGCUUCUAUCUUCUAUUUUGAUGCGUCUCAGCCAAGCGAAAAGUUGGAAUUCAGGCGCUUUCCUUUGGUACGAAUCGCUGGAGUUGGCAUUGAGAGUGGAAGUUGGAGAAGUCCCUUGCUGCCGUUGAAGACUCCUCGGGGAGUUACGCAGCUUGAAAGGAGCGAAGAGCUUGACCGAGCUGGGGGGUAUCGACUGGAUAGGAUCGUGAUGAUUCCCCUAGUUGAAGUGACCUAUCGGGCAGAGGUUAGAUAUAGUCCUCACUGUAUCGGAUUGAAUAUGCUUCUUUUGCUUUACCUAGUUUACAAGGGGAAGUAGCGUAGCGCGUAUGCUCAUUCUUCUUCUUUUUGUAGCAGUUGAACUUCUAUUCUGAAUCUCGUGAAUUCACUCAUUGUCAUAUUCCUUCCCAUGAAAAGGAGAAAAUUCUCUUUCCGCAGAGGUUGAGCUUGAUAGGGCUCGGAAUCAGUAGCUGGAAUUAAACUACCACGGACCGGCAUAGGCAGACAGGUUAGCUCCCCAAGAGGCAGGAGAUAGGCUCGACCAGUGAGUCAGAAGCAAAAGAGACUCAAGGUUCGGGUCGGCAAGUAGGGAGUAGCAGUUCUUCUUUCAGUUUCAGUAGCCUCAUCUCUUGAGUAAGGCAACUUGCCUCAAACUCCGGUAAAUUCAUAAGGCAUAGGAAGAAAAAGGCAAAGGUCAAGAGGCUCAAAGAAUAUUGAGGAUCAGACUACUCCCAGAACCCACUACGCGGUGAGGAUACAAAGGUUAGGACUCAUGAAAUUCCAUAUUCACUUUUCUUUGAUCCUUUUCUUUAUCCGUCCGAAGGACUAUCCAUAUUAACCUGUCUGUCCGGAGGACCUGUCUUAUGGCACAAAAGUCAAUCAAAGAAAAUCAGUUCAUUAACGAUAAUGAAAGAAGCUCAAAAAGAAUCUGCUAGAUUUCAGAUGAAUCCGCGGAGGGAAAUGCUAGGUUUUGGGCCUAUAAAGUAGCAAGAAAUCAAGUCAAAUGCCUUCUUUUUCUACUUUUAUCGUUAAAUAUCAAUCUUCGAUUUACUAUGAAAAAGAAGCAAAAAAGCCGGGAAAUAGCAAGGCAUUGUCCUAUUUGAUUUUCGAAAUUCACAUGGAUCAGUUCUAGUUUGAGUUUCUGGUCCGGAUACUGACAGGUCUAUUCUGUAUUCCGCGUAGGAGAAAGAAGACAAAGAAAGAUAUUGCUGGUCGGAAAAGAAAUGAACAUAGUUUUCUUAUAGUUUGAGUUUGUGGUCCGGAUACUGACAGGGAUAUUCUUGCCUUCUAAUGGAUAGUCCGGAGGCGCAAUAUGCGAAGGCGCAAAGAAUAUUGCGCGCUACUCUUAGCUUGAUUUUCAGCCAGCCAUACCCAAACCUUGCUUGCAGCUUGCUUGAGACUUGGACUUGGCUUACUAACUAUACCUGGUGCCUGACUCUCAUGGAAAAAGAAAGGAAGAGGAAAGAGAGGGUGCAAAGUCUAUCCCUCCCUAUAUAGUCUUUUCUAUCCAAUUGUGCUCUUUGAAGCUUUCCAUCGAUCAGUCCUGAAUGGGGUCCUAUCCCGCUUCACCAACUUCUUACUAAGCAAAGGUAGUCAGGUGAACUCUAGCAAAGACCUCUGAAAUGUCUCCGAGGACAGUAAUUUGGAUUUCUUCGGAUUCGUGAACCUAGGAUUAGCAUCGAAGGUUUCAUUCCAUUGCCCGACUCUCAUCGUAAUGAGGAGGUUGAAUCUCAAUCCUAGUCUUAUCCUUAAUCCCUUGCUGCUCAAAGCCUUAGAUUGAAUGCCGACUUUGGAUCAAACCUUUGGCAGAGCACUAAAAUCACUUCUAAUGGAUAGUCCUCCGGACUGGUCCUCCGGCGCAAAGCAUAUUGCGGCUUUAUUUGGAGGAAUUCCGUAGCAGCUAAUUGAUCUAUAUCUUCCUUAUCAAUGAUCUUUGCUCCUCAUCUGGAGCCUUUGUUUUUGUCGCAGCAAAGGCGCAAAGAAUAUUGCGUGAUGAUGAAGACGACUAGAAAUAAAGAAAGCACUACGCGGGAAGAACUGGAUAAGGUCAGAGUAUUCGUUCUUUCUGGGAAAUUACAAACCCUGGGUUCUGACUUGACUAUUGUACGUAAAGACUGGACCGAUCCCAAGAACAAGGGCAAGGCGCGGCACUCUUGACUCCAUUUCCGUUCCGAAAUCAUAGGUAGAAAGCAUAGGAUAAGAGUCUCAGACGGACUAAUUCGAUAGAGUUGCAAGGAUAUAGAAAGAUUUCUCGCUAGAUCAGACCAAGGGAGGGCAAUUCAAGGGCCACUGCUGCGACUGAAGGUGACACUAGCUAUCUCGGAUAGGAAAGAGAGGCUUGAUCGGUAACCACAGAUUUCAAGGUCUUUCUCCACUGUCUGAAAGAGCCAUUGAUUCACACUGCCCGCUAUAGCGAAGAGAGAGGGGCGGAGCCACUCGACCGAUAGGGAGAGGGUUUUGGUCUCUUCUUCCUAAAUAGAGAUUCAACCGGAGAUGGGCAAUUUGAUUAGCUAUCUUGCUAUAAGGGUGGAGCGUAUGAUAAGCGAGCGAUCAGGGCUAAGAAGGGAAAAGAGUCCUCUUGUUUUUGAGAGGUGGACCUUUAGGGCCCCUCCUUUGCCGGGUAGGGCGGGACAACGGAUAAAGAGUUAGAAGAGGUUGAGAGCUCCUAAUUGAGCUGCUAUCUGCUGCGUAAAUGGAUAGAAAGGCAUCCUAAGCAGGGCUGGCGGGAAAGUAGCACCUUGCUCAGGAUGAGAGGGCUCCUUAUGCCGGGAAGGGCAGUUGAAUGUGAGAUCUAUCCCCUUUAGUUUUGAGGGUUGGCCUGAUCAAAGUAAUCGGGGAUGUAGUAGCCCAAGCACCUACUGGGAGUAGCCUCGUCUUCGCUCAGUGAUGGAAUCCUUGAAUCCAGUACAUUCUGGGUCUCCACAAUGGCUUUGAAUUAUCUGCUCUCUUCUGGCUGGAUGGGUUUCCAAGGUCUUCGUUCGAAGGCUAAUCCCCCUAGUAGGAUAGUCGGACUGAUUUUUAUCCAUUUCAUUCUUGCGGUAUAUCGGUAUCCUAGGCUUUCCUAUUUGUUGUUGGGUAGGCUUUCCAUAACCUUUUCCGCCUAUCGAGCCUUUGUCCUUCAGUUUCUUUUCUUUCUGGGAGUCUGAUUCAGAAGGUUUUUUCUCUGCUUCUUUCUGUCUUUUAUGAGAAAUAGAGUAGAGAAAGAUCUCAUGAAAGAUCGCGGGAUCUCCAUCCACUCGCACGGGUAAGAGGUUCCGGAGCUCUAGAUCAGAAGAAAGGCGCAAAGAAUAUUGCGAAAGAGAGGUGAAGGGGCUGUAGCCCUUGCAGUCCUUGUUGGAGGCAUGAAGGACCAAGGCUUAAUUCAAAGGCUGAUUUAUGGUCCGAAGGCUAGGCGCAAAGUUCGGUUAAUUACGGAAAGUCCUCCGGACUACUUCGGUUAAUUACGGAUGGUCCUACUUCUGUUAAUUACGGAUGGUCCUACGGAUAAAUCCUCCGGACUACUUCCCUCCAUAUGGAUGGUCCUACUUCGGUUAAUUACGGAUGGUCCUACUUCACUCCGGACUUUCCGUAAUUAACCGAACUUUGCACCUCUCCAUUUCAUGCGCUUCGCGCCGGAGGACGACUGAAAGGUGCGAAGCAAAGAGCGCGAGACUAGAGAGGAGAGGCUCAAUGUAAUAUGAGUUGAGAAGCGCAUUUAUCUAAGAAAAGAAGAAAGGCUCUUUGAAUAUUGAGAAUAUUGCUGGAAGAUUUGCACUGGGGGAUAUUCUUGAGAAGACUCAAAAUAGCGGGACUUCUCUUUCUUCUCUUAAAUAAUAGUCUUUCUUAAUGAGGGGAAAAUGGGUCGAGCUGUUCGGGAAUUUCCAUAAAUGAGAUGAGAGAGUCUUCUUGAAUAUAAGGCAGGCCACAAGGAGAGCUACUGAAGACUGCUCCUCCUACUUCCGGCGCGCUGACCAAUACUGGGGAUUUCUGGUCUGACCCCGGCGGCUUUCUCUUUAUUCCUUUGAUUUGAUUGGGAUUUUUUAGGUUUUUUCUUUCAAGAAAGAAUAUUGCGUCUUUGCGCCUCCGACGGAGCAGCUCCAAAAAGCCUCUGCGGUCAGUCCUUCGGACCUGCUGACGAGUCUGAUUCCACUAAAAAAUGACUCAAUAUUCUGAGCAAUAUGCACCUACGCGCGGAUAUUAUCGGCUAUUUAACAGCUUUUUUCUCCAUAAUACUUUUUCAUUUAAGCUAUUUAAGAGUGGUUAUUAAGCGGCUUUUUUUCGGAAGGCAAAGAAUAUCUCUGUCUUAUUUAUGGGAGCCUCCGUAGCUUAAUAUGUCAUCUUGACCUUUCUCGUCCCUUCCUCUUUGAGCGCUCCGACGGAGCAAAGUUCUUUAUAGGAGGCGCAAAGCAUAUUGCUCAAUUUGAGAGAACUAAAAAACCGAAGGAGGCGCAAUGAAAUAUGCGUAGAAGAAUGAGUCUACCUUUCAAAAAGAAACCGCGGAGUGGGAAAUCGUGAAAAAUGGGCGAUUUGGCGUGCAAUCUUCCAUCUUUCCUAUGCCCCAAAGUCACUAACAAAGUGAUUCUCACUAAAAACAAGGGUCGGACAGGCAGAACACAACCAUCUGCAGCACUCAAGUCAACGGGUCUCGCUUAACUUGCACUCCUUCUAAGUCGCUUCGCGCCUCAUGGUCUCGUCUUCUCUUUGGUGGGCGUAUUGGGAUUCCUUUCCUUACUCGAACUUCUGAACAAUCUUUCUUUGGGUUAAUAUGGAUAGGACUGAGGACCAGUCAAUCAAUCAUCAAUAUCCCUGUCUCGCAAUAUUCUUUGCGCCUGGAAGUCUCGCAUAUUGAAUUGCGCCUUCGGUAAAAUCACUUUGCUCCGUCGGAGCGAUCCAACUGAAUGAAAUAAGUCGAGCUUCCUUAGGCGCGUCUCGUGGGAGGCCUAGCCGGAUACUUCUCUUUUACCUUUUUGAUGCAAGGACGACUACAGCCUUUACUUUACCUCGGGCGAGCAGAAAGCCAUAAUCCUUUUAGGACGGAUUCCUCUUCCUAAAGUCGAGUCAUUUCAUUCCUCUUCCCGCUACGUGGGGUCGACCCUUUCCCAUAUAGAUGGUGGUCAUUCAACUCAUCUGGAGCUUUUCUUUUUGUAGUCUUAGGCCGGGGCAAUAGAAAGUUCCCAUGCUGCUGUUGGGAACGUAGAGUUCGAGAUGAGCACUUAUUGAGAAUGGGGGGGAAUCUUUUUGAUCAUAUUUCUUAGUUAAGAAUCUAAGCUUAUCAAGAACAAGAGAAAGAAGAAAAGCAAGGAAAGACCCCCUACGGGAACGGCUGACGCUUUUGCCUUGAUCCUCUGCUGUUUUGGGAGUUUCCUUUGUCCCUGAACUCCGCCUUAUAAGAUUAGUCUUAGAGUGAGUUCAUCCCUUCCAUUAUACGAGUGAAUGAAGUGACCUUUUAAAGGCCUAAUAACCUUGAACUCGGUAGAAAGAAGGCAUCUUAUCUUUUUUCAUGCCUUUCCUUUUUGAUCGCCAUUCUCUUCUUUGUUCUUGUAUUUUCUGGGGAUCGUGGGGAUGGCAUGGGACGCCUCUUCGGAGGAGUUCUUCACUUAUCCGAAAUAAAUGGGUGAGGACGAGGAGGAAUCCCGCCUUUACCGCUACGUGGGAUCAACCGGCUGGGCCACCUGACUUUUUCCCUGUAAAAUAGUCCAUGGGUCGGAUCGUCCAAAAGAUGAUUCCCAGUGGUGAGACCUGAACUCGCAUCUCUCGCCCUUUGCUUACUUUACGCGCAUCAAUCGUUAAGAUUUGCUUUCUCUAACCCAGAGUGAGAACUAUCACUAGAUUCUUCAUCAAAAGUCUUGAGCGAGGACAUCAAGCAAUUGGGUCCAUUACACCUUUUUCACCUUCAAAGAUUUCUGGGUGGACAAUCAAUGUCUUUACUGGAAGGAAGAAGAUCAAAAACCCCAAAAAUAGGAGAGCGGAUUCGCACCCGGAGGGAGACAAGACGUCAUCACCAGAGAGGAAUGCUCUUGCUCAAUAGAGUUGACUCUGGUCGGAUUAGUUUAGGGAAUGAAGUUGCUCAUGAGUAAGGGAAUGAUAAGGAUAGGGUCCGGGUAGAACUACUACUUUAAUUGAGACUGUAUGAGACACCCCCUUUCUAUCCAUCCUGUAAUCUCCGAUAAAAGGUGCGAAUACUAUUCCUUAUAGAAGGUUCGGGCUGGCCCUUGCUAGGCAUAAAAGGGCGCCCACGGAGCGGGCGAGGUUGAAGUUUCAUAAGGAUAGGUUGAAUAAGCAGCAGUUGCUUUCCGUCUUCUAUGAUCUCUUUCAUUCCUUAUUCGAAAGAAGGCAAAGAAAGUGGAAAGGAAAUCCUGGGAUUGUAACCAUUGAGCUUGAACCAUGAUUUAGAGUGAAAGGUUAGGCUAUUUGCCUUGGGCAAGGAGAUCUAGCUAGAGAUCGCAAGAUCGAAGAAAAGCUUUCGCAUCCUCAACUACAGCAGCCACAACUACUGGAAGAAAAAGACUUUUUCAAGAACCACUUCUGCAAGUGCUCCAUUAGUUCUUUGCUUUCCUCUACUUUCGGAUUCUAUCAUAGCUUCAGAAAAGAAAAGGGCAAUAUUCUUUGCGCCUCCCCCCGUCCUCCGGACUAUCCGUAUUAACCUAGCCUUCGGACCUGUCUUAUGCAUCCUUACUCAAAUUUCAUUGAUCCUCUCCGCCCCGUGGGAGUCUGAAAUAUUCUUUGAACCUCUCCGGUCGAGCAGCGGCUUUGCACCGCUCCGUGGGCCUCUUUUCUUUCAUCUUCUUUGAAUCUCACCGGGAUAAAUCAGCCUAAGGAAAGAUGUCGUGGAUGGAAGAAUGGAAGUUGGAACGUCAAAUCAGCCAUUUGGCUAGUCAAAUGUGAGGUAAAAUCGUACUUUUGGAACCCACUCCGCCUACUAUUUGGAAGAAAGCCUAUCCUUCGAUGGGGUGAAAGCCUUCUUAUCCAGGUGGCUACUUACUAACCUCGUCGAGUUCUAGCCUCUCCCUUUCUUAAGAGUUGCUUCGCGCCUUGCUAUGGUCAACAAGUGUAUGCCUUUGCUCCCUUCCCUUCUCUGAAUAUCAGAUGUGCUGGUGAGGCCUUUGUACGUAAUGCUCUUUAUGGGCUUCUGCCGAUUCCCCGCUUCGCAAAUUCAAAGCUCCUAACGUCAAAUAAGAAGUAAUAGUAUUCAAAUCCCCCGUCCGAAGGACAGACGGGUUAAUAUGGAUAGUCCUUCGGACCUGUGGACAUCUACAUUGUUUUUAGUGGACAAAAGACAAAGUACUAUAUAGAAGGCGCAAAGAAUUUGCGAAGAAGGCGAGAAAAGAGGGAUAUUGUUGCGUGAGAAAGAAUUUUCUCUUUUUAUCCCCCCAGGUCCGAAGGACUAUCCAUUAGGGGAUCCCACGUAGCGGUGCAAAGAAUAUUGCGAGGCGCAAUGAAAUAUGCGUAGAAGAAUGAAUCUACCCUUUACCGCUAAAUAGGAGCAGCUUAAUAUGUGAGCGGUAGGCCUCUUCUUCCUUAGAUCGCCCCUGCCCGAGCAGGCUUGAUGGAUUGAUUGAUGAAAUCAUAUAUAGGACAAAAACUCCCAACGUAGACGAGGCACACAGUAAAGAGGGAAAGAGACCAAACUCACUCACGAAAAGGAAAGAUUGAAUGAAAGAGGGAAAGGUCUCAUCAUUCUCCCGAACGUACUCACUCGCCCGCCCAGGACAAAGAAGCUCGAGGCCCUUGUUCAUUGAGGCGGUUAUGGACUUGCUCGAGGUUGGAGUGAGGCAUAACCUCUUCUAUCCUAAUCGGCGCAUAAGGAAGAGACCAGGGGAAUUCAGAAAGAGAAGUGGCUUGGUGUCGGAACCCUUGGUCUUUUAGUCGUCAAGUUUCAUUCACAUUUUGAUGAUAGGUGCAAAGAAUAUUGCGAGACAGGGAGAGGGGCGAAGAGACUCGACCGUAGGGAGAGGGGCGAGAACUAUCUAUUCUUCCGCCAUACCCAAAACGUGAACACGGGAUUGGACGUGCUUUCUUGCUUAAACCCUUGCACAUGCUCAGGAUCGUCGGAUAAGGGAGGGGUAGAAGUAUUUACGGGGAGAAGGGAGUAAGUGCUCUCUAAAGGGCUGGUUCGAAGGACCGAUACGAAGCACUGCCUUGAGUCCGCCGCCGAUGUUGACGAUUGUAGAUGGGAGCUUUCCCUGACCUCUUAUUCAAGGAGAUUUCGUUUUCAUAUUUGACCGCCCUGAAUUUCCUUAUGUUAAGCCUUUUGACCUCGUAUUUGACUUCCGAAGAUUUGACUCCUUCUGCAUUCAAACUUCGUAUUCAAAAGAAGAAGGAGGCGCAAAGAAUUUGCGAAGAAGGCGCUUCUAAUGGAUAGUCCGGAGGACGGGGAAUGUGAGUUGCAGAAAGAAAAAGCAUGAACUAUCAGGUCGGAAGAGGUCCCAGGAGAAUAGGUUUCGUCAGAUCUUGAGAUAAGAAGAAAGGAUAGAAAAGCAACUCCACCAGGAUCGGGGAUAGGUUAGCCCAGCCGAAUGGGCCUAGUAGUAGUGAGGUAGGACUGAUUAAUACGAGAGCAAAGGUGCGAAGGUGCAAAGAAUAUUGCGAGAGGUUCGAAUACGAAGAGUCAGAAGUCCCAUUAUGAAUUCAAGACCGAAACCGUUAAGCAAAUGAGACCGAGGUGCAAAGAAUAUUGCGGAGAUGAAAUUGAGUUAGAAGAAAACUUGAAUCUCCCUGGCGAGAAGAAAGGAGACCUACGAAGCAAAGAAGCGGAGCGGUAGACUAAGAAGUCAAUAAUCAGUCAAAGGGCUGCACCGCUGGUCCCCAACCCAAAGACGGAUGCGCAUCGGCGAUCAUGGAAAGGAGCGAAGGCAGAGAAUACCCCCUUGCUAGGGCCAGAGCUGCUCGACUCUCAAUCUCAAGUCCUCCAAGGAUAAAGGCUAGGUCCUUUUCUCAUACCAAUAGGGGGCAUUCAAAAACCUUAGUUUAAUGGAAUGGCUAGUCAAGACCAGGGUAGACCCACACCAGGGAGAGGGCGAAUAGAGGCUGUCCGGCGACGAAGGUGUUCCAGCCAAAACAGCUACGUGGGGUUGAUCCUAGGGUCUUCUUCAGUCCGCUUGGACAGCUAGAAACUAUCUUCUUCAAGGAAGCGCUUGACUGAAACUAGAAAUGCUAUAAAUGGUGGAGUCGUCUUGUGCAGGUUCUAGGCCUGCCUUCCCCCAAGUUCAGGGGUUAGCCUCCCUUUUCAUUUCAUUCAGGGCAUCAUCCUCACGUGAGGCAAUCCAUGACUUGACUUAUAGUUCACAUUGAGCUCCCUCUCGUCCUCUAUUUGAUUGGGAGAGUGGUUCGCAACUAUCAGAUAUAGAUCUCUUCUUUCUUUCCAGAUCUUUUCUUUGUUUUGUCUGGAUGCCCUUUUCGGGCUCACUUCCUAAGAACCCAGCCCCCAAGAGGAAAUGGACAGGCAUUGAAAAAAGCCGAAGCGCUGGCAAAAACCUAGAUUCUAUCCAACCCACUCGUAGUGCCCUAGACCUGAGGGGUUAGGUUAAGGGAUUCAUUUUUCAAGUCAAAGAGGGCAGUCGCUGGGCCUUCUUUCUUUGAGUCACUCGCUCCGGGGAGAUCCUCUUUGGUAGGGAUGGGACUAAAGAGCUCUAAAGAGCGGCAACAGCUUAUCCGAAAAAAGCAGUUCUCUUAUCUUAUCGAAAAAGGUCUCGCUUUGUCUCCUGAAGUUCAAGUCAGAAAAUCAAUGAAGAAGUCGAUGCCCACGUAGCGGGAAAAGACGAAAGCAGGGAGACAAAGGCUCAAAGAAUUUGAGAUAGGCUUUCAGUAUUAUUUUGAGGUUCUAGAGGCGCAAUGAAAUAUGCGAAAGCAGGGAGCAUCAAAAUUCAUGUAUAGGGCUUUUUUUGGAAUGAAUGAUCCUACUUCUUUAUCAAGCUUAAGGAUAGGUCGUCCGGAGGACUUGUUUUUAUCCAUCUGAGCUGGUCAAAAUGCAACAAAAAAGAAGGGAAAACGCAAUAGAACCUACUAUUAUAUUAAGCCUAUCUGAUGCUUCUCUUUGCAUUCUGAGAAAAGAAAAAAUAAGGAGGCCUACGACUAAAAAAUACGGCUCGUCAUAACAUAAAAUCAAUGCUUUUAGUGAAAGGCAACUCAUAUUACAUUGAGCCUGCCGGAGAGGGAAGAACUGUUGUUGAGAGACAGGCGCAAAGAAUUUGCGAAGAAGGCGCAAUGAAAUAUGCGAGGCGCAAAGAAUAUUGCGAUAGCUCUGACUUUGAAAAUAGCUUAACCUGUGGAAUAAAGAAGUGAACUCAUUAUUAAAGAGAGAAUUUACGGGAUUGGUCUAAUCAAUAAAUAAAGAAUAGUCGCAAUAUGCGCCUUUCUUCUCUUCAAAUUCUUUGAUCCUUCUCACGGCAGCUAAGGAUAUUCUUUCUUCCCGCUCCGUGGGCUGACUUUGGGCCUCAGUAGCUUAAUUAAGAAAGUCAAAUCCCAUGAUUCCUCCUCUCCGCAAUAUUCUUUGCACCUUGCCUUUUUUCCUUCUUUAUAUUUCCGACCCCUUAUACAAAGGCUCCAUAAAGAAAUACGGAUUGGGAUUCACGGAUUGGAUUAUCAUUAAUAAGCAGUUCAGAUCUUGCUGCCCUUUUCGAGCUAGACCUCUAUCGAACUAAACCUUACUCAUUUCUAAUACUAAUACCGGGAGGGCACCGAUGUACAGGGGCUGAUUUUAGAAUUCCGAGUGCCGAGAACGGGGGCGUCAAAGAGAAGAGGUAUAUCCUUGCACGGCGACGAUACCCUUUUCUCGGUCCGAGCAUCCCACUCGGAUAAUGAGUCGGAUAAUUAUUGGUAAGCGAAUCCUGUUCGCGUUCUCGGCCGAGCAAAAGCUCCAUUGCCGAGCAAAACCGAAGGUGGCCAGCCGCAUAGUCUCUAAUUCAGAUCUGGAAUUACAUUCUACGUCCGACUGCCUUGUGUGAGAAGGAGGGGAGAUAUUUAUAAGUAACCGAUUCGGGAAAGGGUAACUUCAACCUUUACGGGCCUGGGGAAGGCCUGCCUACUAGUUUAGUUGGUCUAGAGCUAGUCUAGUAAGACUAAAUAGUAGGUGGUAGCCUUAGGGCCCCAAACGAGGUUAGGGAAAGUGACACAUUUGAAAAGUGAGAAAUCGCACUUUCCCGGUUACCGUCCACGCUAAGAUAGAAGAAGGCACUGCCCGUGUGGCUUCAACCUCUGCUGUGGGUCUUUCAAGACGAAAGACCAAGGCCUGAUCACAGCGGCCGUACACAUCCGUUAUUCUCUACCAAGGGAAAUGUCUACUAGAUGCGUAAAUCAGAUCGUGACAAGAUCUCAAGUUGCACCACAUCUCACUUAGGUCCAACCCUUGGUUCGGUUGGUGGCAUCGCGAAGUCAAGUGAAUUUCACAUCAAUUUUCUGAACCGGUAGAUCGGAUUGGUGGCGGUUAGUCAACCCCGAAAGAAGGGGAGUGAGAGAUGCGAUAAGGGUCAGGGGAUGACUUUGAAAGGUCACAUAAAAGUUCAGCGUCUCGAUAUUCACGCCGAUCGGGACCGGUCCUCCGGCAGGUCGCAAUAUUCUUUGCGCCUCGUUGCGCUCCUUGAUUCUUUUCCGCAAUAUUCUUUCCUCCUAACUACUAAUGGAAAGUCCUUCGGACUCCAUGAACUGUGAAAAUACGAUAUGAGAAUAGAUAGUUCUCGCUUGAGCUCUCUCUUACCUUUCUAGCUUCUCCAACUCGGGAAAGAUCUAAAUCAGGUCUAGCUUCCGAGACAGAGAAGAACGAUUUGAAACUUUCCAUCCAGCGCCUAUGUCAAAACCUAGUUCAAGAUCGAAUGAGCACUGAAAGUCUGACUCGAGUCAUUAUGUCUUUCUUAUCCGUUAUAUACUCCACAUUCUAGAAGUUCAUAAAGAAAGAAAGUGAACAAGAAAAUGGAAAGUCUCACUCUCAGAAAGUUAUCCAUCGCUUGAUACUAACCAUACCUUUACCGGCUUUCAUAAAAGCCAUUAUUAUAUUAUUUCUGGCCGUAGAAGGCAUCAAUCAUAUUUCAUGGAUCCUCCCUUGCCUUUUUCUACUUUCAGUUUCUAGUCGGCGUCGGACUCCCAUAAAGAAGAGAUUAGGCUUUCCUUUAUGUCUUCUUUUCCUUUGUCGGCUAAUAAGUUGAAUGAGAAAUUGAACUUUCAAGGCCGCCAGAUGGAAUCUACAGCCCUUGCACCCAUGAAACUCCUUUUCCUAAGCCACUCCUUCCCUUCUCGGUGGGUCAAGCCUUCUCACCGCCUCAAUGAAGAACCGCUGACUCUUCCCGGAGAAUGCUACAUCUCUUUCUUCCACAGCGACUCUACUGAAGAAAGAGCGGCUGCCACUGCCUCAAUGAACAAGGGUCUUCGCUUAGCCCCGAAUGAGGACUCAAUUUCGACUCCUUCUUCUCCGGAACGAUUUUGAUGCAAUUACUGAAUUUGAUAUCUUCCAUAACCUUUCUAGAGGCCGAGGGCUCGAUCUAGCUCAUUCCCGACGAAGCACGGAUCGAGCGGACGGACUCACGGAUGUGAAUACCUCGUCCUCCAUGGCUACCUUCUUAAAUGAGAAAUGCUACCUCCUUAGAAGAAGACCUCUGAUCCCUAGGCGAACCUUCCAAACCUAAAAAUAAUACGAAAGAAAGCCUUCUCACCUUUAUCUUAUCUUUCAGGGAGCCUAUUUGGGGCUAUGAGUAACCCCGCGACAGGUCAAUUCCCACGUAGCGGUAGGUUUUCCCCAUGGAAAUAUGAAAGUCUUGUUGUCAAAUCAUCCCCAGACAAAGAGCAAACUCACCCCUAGAGGUCGGACGGGCAAAGCCACGAGGAGUCUGACGAGAGGGAAGUAUCUACUCGUAUGAGUAAAGGCAGCGAUCAGUUCAGCAGAGGCCCAGGCGAGAGGCUCAGCUCAAGGAGAGGCAUCCCUUUCAGAACAAGCUGUAGCCCUCGAGUUCUUUAUUGAUUGAUGAGCAAUCUUGCUGAACUUUGCCUUCUUUAUUUAGAUCUGAAAUCAAAGGCUGAACUGAAUGUCCCCUACAGCAAGAAGGACCAACCUUCUACCCUACCCUAUUUACUGGAAUAUUCUCCCUGGGAUCAGGAUCAGAAGCGAGACCAGACCUCAAUGAACAAGGUGAGAAGGCUUUCUUCUUUUCUCCUUUCUUAAUAAUCGUGGGGUUGAUCAGAGCUAAGCUCGAGUGAGUUGUAGAGUGAGAGGAAAGGAAAAGGCUCGACUCGAGGAGGUCUUCUUAUCUUCUUUCUUGUUUCGGAGUUCACUCUAUUUGAACUCUCUUUACAUUCUGUUUAUACGUUUUUCGUGUACAAAAUGAAAGAGGGAGAUAGGCGCAAAGCUCAAAUACUUUGAUCCUUUGAACCUUUUAUUUGAAGCUGCUGGAGGCAAAAAAUUGCACAAGCUCAGUGGUCCACUUCUCGUUGAGGCGGCAUUAGGCAAUUCAGCUGGCAUAACAUCCUUUCAACUUUAUAGGAUAGGCAAGAUCUCUGAGGGCAGGUUCCUUGCUGGCUCGAGGACUCCUUCCUCCUUGAGGCAUGCUAGGAAGGUGGGCUGCGCCUUCUUGAAUCCCUUUGAGAGCUGCAUUGCUGAAAUUUGCCUUGCUUGAAGGCUAGACUCUCGUGCUAACGGAACCAUGGAAGGAUGGCCUUCUUCCAAGAUGCACAAACUCUUGCUGAAAGGAAUAGGUACUGCCUUUACUUGGUCUAAAAAUUCAAUGCCAAGAAGCACAAUGGGAUAAUCAUCCGUAGAACUCCGAAGUCAAUCUCUCCACUCCACUGCCCCAAGUUCACGCCACGAGCUACUCCGAAGAUGGAUUUAGGCCCUGAGUUUUUUACUGCCUUGAGCCAUCCAGGCUCCUUGAUCUAUUUUACGCCCAAAGGCUCAGCUUCCUUCUCCUCUCGAAAGUUGUUGGUAGCCCCUGUGUCCACCAUGGCUGUGUAGUUGCCUAGUUUGCCUUCUACAUAGAAGGGUCCCUUCCUUGCUGCCUUGGGCACUUCAACUUUGGCCUGUAUAGCAUGAAAAAUCGAACUUGAUCCCAUCUUCGUCUCCUCGUAGCGCCGAAAAUCCAGACUUCUCAAGAAUAUCCCCCAGUGCCGCAAAUUCUUUGCGCCUUGCACUCCUUUCUUCUUUUCUUAAAUAAAUGCGCUUCGUAGAUUAUGCUGAAGGAGGAGUGGGGUCCACAAUUGAAGGAUUUGAUGGGCUCCCCAUCCUUCUUCUUGUCCUUGCUCCUUGCUAGGACUGCCUCCUUUGCUUUUGCCUUUAUCGUAGCCUUUUCUGACUUGCCUCCCCCACUCUUUCCCUUGCCCUUCUCUUUGCUGGCUUUGGAAAACUCAGGCUUCUUGAACUCUAUCAAGGACUCAGCUACUGAAAUGGCUGUGGCAAGGUCCUGGACUCCGCGUCUCUGCCAAGUGCGCCGUGGCUUAAACUCAAUUUUCUUUGAGAAGCUACAAAGGCAAAGUCAAUCGCAAUCUGCUGCGCUAGUGAUGAUUGGGAAGUACUUGACCUUUUUCUUUUCUCCAACUCUCAUUGCAAGAGAAUCAACUGAAACUGGCUUGGCGGAUACUGCGGGCUUUCACCGCUAAUGAACCCGAAGGUACGGAGUAGAAUGCUUUCCCGCCUUAGAGUGUGCCAGUAGCUUUCUUCUCUCACUUCUUUCAGAUCAAUGAAGUUGAAAAGGAAUAGAGUAUACAAAGCUCUCACUCCAAGAACUCUCAUAGUUGUGAGCUUAACUACCUGUGCAAAGAGAAUCGAUGCCUUCUAUCUUAGAGUAAGCAAGGGCUAGAAAUCGAGGACCGCUACAGCGAUUCAAAAUUGACCAUUUCGAUCUAUCUCCUUCAACAGUCUAGGCCAUCGAUAGUCGGACUGAUUUAUGGAACUUAUCCCUCCAUAAUGGCGGAGAAGGUAGGAAACUUCAGCAAAGAAGCGGCUCGAGCAGAAAGCCUUUGUUCAGACAAGCUUGAUAAAGAAGUCCUUCGGUUCAAAAAACCAAAAUCAUAGUAUGAAUCUUUGAAUAGACAGGACAUUCUUUCUUUUUGUUUGGUCCUCCGCCUAAUUCAUAUGGGGAUCUGCCUCAUUCAUAUGGAUCAAAAUCAGUCCCACUAUUUCAAAAGAAAAAUAAUAGCUCUCUGAAUCUCUGGGUUAAUGUUAAUAUGGAUAGUCCUCCGGUCUCGCAAUAUUCUUUGCGCCUAACGGUCAAUGAAAUAUGAGAAGAUGACAUUCUUUAUUUAGCAAGGUUUCAUAUUGCUCAAAGAAGCGGAUAAGACAGAGGCAAAGAAUUUGCUGUUUUUACCGCGUAGUGGGUUACGGAGUGAAAUCAGCCAAUCGAGAAAAAGUGGAAUAAAAACCGCGUAGUGGGCUAGAGCUUGAUUUUUCUGGAGUCCUUUGGCCUUCCUCUCUUUUCUAGAAAGUCCACUAGUAGCUCCAUCGCUGAUAUUCCUCGCAUCUUCAUGCGCUGUGAGUCCUCCCACAGGUCCGGAGGAUUUAUCCGUAGGACUAUCCAUUAGGACUGAGGAUCAAAGAAUUUGAGAAGGAGAGAGUUGACGAAUUUCAUGUUCAAAGAGCCAAUAGGUGAAAAGAAUAUUGAAUCCGUGGGCUUCUCUACCUUUCCAAGAAAAUGGAAACCCAUUUGGAUGACUUAUCAGCCGAUCCGACCCGAGAAUGAAGGCCAAUCCCUCAUUUAUUAGGAAAAAUUCAGGCAAGGUGAAAUUCAAUAUGACGAAGCGAUAAAUAGUGGUUGAUCUUAGAAUAUAUAAGUGGUUUAUCAAGCUCUGCUCAAGAAAUAAGAAAAUAAUAUGAAAGUGGUUUAUCAAGUUCUUUUUUAUGACUGAAAUCUGCGAAUCUAAUAAGUUGAUAUUAGAAAGUAAUAAAGUGCCUUUAUCAAGCCCAGAAGAGCUUUAUAGUCUUUAUCUAGCUUAGGCCUCUUUCUUUACUCAAUCUAGCUUAGGCCUCUUUCUUUACUCAGGGCCACUGAAGACUGCUCAUACAGCCACAACUGCGACCGGAACUGCUGAGGACGAUUCCUUUGGCUUUCUUCCCCGCUUCGAUUGAUUCCCGGCUUAAAUAGGCGAGUCCUGACUACAUCGCAUCGGCUUAACAGAAUCGAAAUCCGAGUCCUGCUGAAAUGGUCCCUAUUAUCUUCUUAUGUAUCCUAAACCUCCUCAUAUGAUUAUCAGAGUUCCGAGAUGAGAACAGUUCUUGCAAUGACGGACUCACUCCCAAUCUACAAUAUCUUUCUUCUUUGCGCUGGAGGUCCUUCAAUGCCCACGUAGCGGGUUUUAGUUCCAUUAAUCAGUCCUCCGCGGGUAGAGUCCGACUAGAAAAAAAAUAAGUGGAAUGAAAAAAGAAAGAAUGUCUCUUCUCAAAUACUUUGAGCCGGAGUUAGGCGCAUAAUAUGGAUUUCAGACGUAGUAGGAGCGGUCCUCAGCCUUUAUUUGAGAAUAUUGCGUUUUGGAGGCGCAAAGAAUAUUGCGGCGGGAAGAAUGGAUAUUGUAGAGUACGUACAGUAUCCGAUCGGGGAGAAAGGAGGGAUCCCAACAAAAAAGGCUAGGGACAAACUAAACUAGGCGUAAGGACGUCGAGGUGGAGGCGAAAGGCUCAAGUGAGUUGUAGAGGCCCUUUGUUCAUUGAGGCGGUAUUCAGUCGGUAGAGGAGUAAGGCGACCACCCGCACCCGAGGGAGAGAGAUCCGUCAAUCUUCUUGUUGCGGAUGAAGCUCUUGCUUUUUCUUUUUCAGUUGCCGUCGGUUAGAGCUCUUUCAUUCUCGUAAAUCAAGUGGAAAGGAAUAGAUUGAAACCAUUGAGCGAUGCCUUUCAUGAGCAGGGAACCUUCCCGCUUGGACCAGGAUUUCGAGUUUCAAGCGCAAGACGAUUCUGGUCUUGUACAGAUUCCAGGGAUGGAUCCCGUCUUGUCGACUUUGUCCCGCAUAUAAGAAGAUAUGAAGAAGUGCGAAUAUUCUUUCAUCAGAUAAAAAAAGAUAUAAGUAGUAAUGAACAAGUGCUCAAGAUUAUUGAAUAAUCCGAUAUUCAUUUCUCAUAAGUAGUAUGAAAAGACUUUCUCAAGCUCUUCUAUAUAAUAAGAUAAGUUUCAAGCUCUGUGGUGGAUUUUCUAAUAAAUAAGUAGUAAUUCAAGCUCUUGGUUUUCAUUUGCUUAAGACAUUGAAUUCGGUCUAUGACCUAACCGGGAAAAUGGACAAAACCCACUACGCGCUUUUCAAUAUUCUUUCUCAAUCUUCUCUUCUUUGAGCCUUUGUCAUUGAGCAGAUUCAUUGAGGGAUUUUUGAGACAUUUUCCAUCUUUUCUCUCGGGUACAUUUGGGGAAGGCAAGAUUCAAUUCGGACACCGAUUCUGAGGGUGUGCUAGUCCCAUUCUGAACUAAAAGAACUCGAAUCGAGAACGUCCGUCUUCCAUAGAAAAGCCCUUUCCUUCUCCAUUCUCCAAUAACCCGGAGGCUAAAAAAAGUGCAGACUCGAGCUAAGCUUGAUAAAGUCCCAAAGGCCUCGC
rnacentral:lncRNA from 1 species